ACGGCGAGUGAAGCGGCAACAGCUCAAAUUUGAAAUCUGGCUUCGGCCCGAGUUGUAAUUUGCAGAGGAUGCUUUUGGUGCGGUGCCUUCCGAGUUCCCUGGAACGGGACGCCACAGAGGGUGAGAGCCCCGUAUGGUCGGACACCAAUCCUGUGUAAAGCUCCUUCGACGAGUCGAGUAGUUUGGGAAUGCUGCUCUAAAUGGGAGGUAAAUCUCUUCUAAAGCUAAAUACCGGCCAGAGACCGAUAGCGCACAAGUAGAGUGAUCGAAAGAUGAAAAGCACCUUGAAAAGGGGGUUAAACAGUACGUGAAAUUGUUGAAAGGGAAGCACUUGUGACCAGACUUGGGCCGGGCGGCUCAUCAGGGGUUCUCCCCUGUGCAUUCCGCCCGGUACAGGCCAGCAUCGGUUCUUACCGGGGGAUAAGAACGGCAGGAACGUGGCUCCCUCUCGGGGGAGUGUUAUAGCCUGCCGUACGAUACCCUGGCGGGGACCGAGGUUCGCGCUUCCGCAAGGAUGCUGGCGUAAUGGUUACUAGUGACCCGUCUUGAAACACGGACCAAGGAGUCGUCCAUUAGAGCGAGCGUUUGGGUGUAAAACCCGCACGCGUAAUGAAAGUGAAAUUAGGUGAGAGCUUCGGCGCAUCAUCGACCGAUCCUGAUGUUCUCGGAUGGAUUUGAGUAAGAGUUUUAACGGACGGACCCGAAAGACAGUGAACUAUGCUUGUAUAGGGUGAAGCCAGAGGAAA
rnacentral:rRNA from 1 species